rnacentral:snRNA from 17 species
AUACUUACCUAGAGGCGUUAUAGGAGAUCAAGAAGUCCUAUAACUAUUAAUCUUUGGCGACAUUGCACAUUAGUCACAAAGAGUUUAAUACCAACUUUUUAGUGUGGGUCUUACAAUUUUUGAUUUCAACCUUUAAUGGUUUA